CCUGUCUCUUUAAGAGGAAAAUCUGCUCUGAUUGGCUUCCGAGAAAAUUAAGCUGCACCUUUGCAAAGGGUAGUUUUCAAGCUGUGGGUGGUAUAUUAUAAUGAGCCUGCAUGAGACAUAGGAAGGGGAGCCACAUCUGAAUGGCUUGUUGAAUCACAUGUUUUCUGAUCUAGA